UACGGAGGGUGCAAGCGUUAUCCGGAUUCACUGGGUUUAAAGGGUGCGUAGGCGGCUAUGUAAGUCAGAUAGUGAAAGUUUGCGGCUCAACCGUAAAAUUGCUUUUGAUACUGCAUAGCUAGAAUUAGGAUGAGGUUAGCGGAAUGUGGCAUGUAGCGGUGAAAUGCAUAGAUAUGCCAUAGAACACCAAUUGCGAAGGCAGCUGGCUAGACCUAUAUUGACGCUGAGGCACGAAAGCGUGGGGAUCGAACAGG
rnacentral:rRNA from 1 species